UAACGCUAGCAGGAUGCCUAACACAUGCAAGUCGAACGAGGUAGCAAUACCUAGUGGCAAACGGGUGAGUAAUACAUGCUCAAUCUACCCAUAAGAGGGAGAUAACAGCUCGAAAGAGUUGCUAAUAUCCCAUAACAUGUAGAAACAUAAGUUUUUACAUCUAAAGUUGCGUAUGCAACACUUUUGGAUGAGGGUGUGUCUUAUCAGAUAGUUGGUGAGGUAACGGCCCACCAAGUCGAUGACGAGUAGCUGUGCUGAGAGGCAGAACAGCCACAAUGGGACUGAGACACGGUC
rnacentral:rRNA from 1 species